rnacentral:rRNA from 1 species
AUUGAACGCUGGCGGCAGGCUUAACACAUGCAAGUCGAGCGGAGAUGAGGUGCUUGCACCUUAUCUUAGCGGCGGACGGGUGAGUAAUGCUUAGGAAUCUGCCUAUUAGUGGGGGACAACAUUCCGAAAGGAAUGCUAAUACCGCAUACGUCCUACGGGAGAAAGCAGGGGAUCUUCGGACCUUGCGCUAAUAGAUGAGCCUAAGUCGGAUUAGCUAGUUGGUGGGGUAAAGGCCUACCAAGGCGACGAUCUGUAGCGGGUCUGAGAGGAUGAUACGCCAAACUGGGACUGAGACACGGCCCAGACUCCUACGGGAGGCAGCAGUGGGGAAUAUUGGACAGUGGGGGAAACCCUGAUCCAGCCAUGCCGCGUGUGUGAAGAAGGCCUUAUGGUUGUAAAGCACUUUAAGCGAGGAGGAGGCUACUGAGACUAAUACUCUUGGAUAGUGGACGUUACUCGCAGAAUAAGCACCGGCUAACUCUGUGCCAGCCGCCGCCGUAAUAC